ACGAACGCUGGCGGCGUGCUUAACACAUGCAAGUCGAACGGAAAGGCCCUGCUUGCAGGGUACUCGAGUGGCGAACGGGUGAGUAACACGUGGGUGAUCUGCCCUGCACUUCGGGAUAAGCCUGGGAAACUGGGUCUAAUACCGGAUAGGAGCCAUUUUUAGUGUGAUGGUUGGAAAGUUUUUUCGGUGUAGGAUGAGCUCGCGGCCUAUCAGCUUGUUGGUGGGGUAAUGACCUACCAAGGCGGCGACGGGUAGCCGGCCUGAGAGGGUGGACGGCCACAUUGGGACUGAGAUACGGCCCAGACUCCUACGGGAGGCAGCAGUGGGGAAUAUUGCACAAUGGGCGCAAGCCUGAUGCAGCGACGCCGCGUGGGGGAUGACGGCCUUCGGGUUGUAAACUCCUUUCGCUAGGGACGAAGCUUUUGUGACGGUACCUAGAUAAGAAGCACCGGCUAACUACGUG
rnacentral:rRNA from 1 species